rnacentral:lncRNA from 1 species
GUCCGAUUGAAACCCUUUCUCUAGCGAUAGACUGUCAGAGGUUCAUGUUGAGUCUGAUGAGUCAGAAGGGCCUUUCAUCCAGAUCCCGGACUUCAGCAGAGGAAGCAGCUGGAGCCAGUGGAGUGAGGCUGAGCUCAGAGGGUCCUGCACCUGGCUCCCAUGGUGCCCUUGGAGGCAGAAAGUAAGGCUCAGAGAGGCUAAGUGGCUUCCCCACAAGCAGAUACAAUAUCUGGGAAGCCGAGCCUAAGAUCUGCAGGAGCCUGCAGAGCUGGACUAUGCCAUGUUGCUCAUGCUAAAGCCACGAGUCGCCCGGGCGGCCAGGAACAAGAGGAGGACAAGACUUGCCAGAGGCUUUCGGGACCAAAGCUUGAGCUGUAAGCCAGCCAGGUAUGCCUCCUGCCUUCUGUGUGCAAGAGCUUUUGGUUUUAUUUUCUCAUUCUGGUUUGGGGGUAUAUAAUCAUUAUAA